CGGGACGGGUGAGUAACGCGUGGGUAACCUGCCUUGUACUGGGGGACAACAGUUAGAAAUGACUGCUAAUACCGCAUAAGCGCACAGUAUCGCAUGAUACAGUGUGAAAAACUCCGGUGGUACAAGAUGGACCCGCGUCUGAUUAGCUAGUUGGUAAGGUAACGGCUUACCAAGGCGACGAUCAGUAGCCGACUGAGAGGUUGAACGGCCACAUUGGGACUGAGACACGGUCCAA
rnacentral:rRNA from 1 species